rnacentral:rRNA from 1 species
GACGAACGCUGGCGGCGUGCUUAACACAUGCAAGUCGAACGGUGAAGCGCCUUCCUUUUUGGUGGGUGUGGAUGAGUGGCGAACGGGUGAGUAACACGUGAGUAACCUGCCCCCUUCUUCUGGAUAACCGCAUGAAAGUGUGGCUAAUACGGGAUAUUCUGGGUCUGUCGCAUGAUGGGUCUGGGAAAGAUAUUGUUUCGGUGGGGGAUGGGCUCGCGGCCUACCAGCUUGUUGGUGGGGUGAUGGCCUACCAAGGCGGUGACGGCUAGCCGGCCUGGGAGGGUUGACGGUCACACUGGGGCUGAGACACGGCCCAGACUCCUACGGGAGGCAGCAGUGGGGAAUAUUGCACAAUGGGCGCAAGCCUGAUGCAGCGACGCCGCGUGAGGGAUGGAGGCCUUCGGGUUGUGAACCUCUUUCGCCAGUGAAGCAGGCCUGCCUCGUUUGUGGGUGGGUUGACGGUAGCUGGAGAAGAAGCGCCGGCUAACUACGUG